ACCAUCCCUUUGCUCCCAGUGGCUGAGAGCCUUCCAGAAGCUGGGAAUUCCACUCCAGUGUUAAUUUUGUCACAGUGUUAAUUUCAUCUCCAUGUUAAUUUCAUCAGAGUGUUAAUUUCACCCUGGUGUUAAUUUCAUCUCGGUGUCGAUAUGUUUAAUGAGGCCGCUCUGGAUGACUCGUACCCUGCAGACACACACCGUCCCCAGUCAACCUGAUCUAGUACCUGAUUUAGUGGUUGGCAACCCUGCUCAUGGCAAGGGGGUUGGAACUGGGUGAUCUUUGAGGUCUCUUCCAACCCAAACAUUCUAUGAUUCUGUGGUUCUAUCAUUUUUGAGGUCCUUUCCAAUCCAACCAUUCCACGGUUCUAUGAUCUCUGAGGUCCCUUCCAACCCAACCAUUUCAUGAUCCCCAAGGUCCCUUCCAACCCAACCAUUCUAUGAUUCUCUGAUCUUUAAGGUCCCUUCCAACUCAACCAUUCUAUGAAAUGUUACCACACAGCAAUGUCCUGAUGUCCCCAGCGGCUCCCCAGAUCUUGCUCUCAGCCCUGCACAUCUGUCAGGAGAGCACAGCAGCUGGGUUUGCCCUGAAGCACCCGGCCCCUCGCUGCUAGCAGAUGCCCUUCCAGCUCUGCUUUCCCACUUAUCUGCAGCACAAAUCCGUUGAAGAAAAGGCUGCCCUCGCAUCCUUCUGAAUAAUGCGCUGCUUUGGCUUAAAACAGUAAUUACUGGGUGUUUCCUCAGUGCAAUGAAGAAUUUAUUGGCAGUUGGUACUGAAAAUUAGAUAUUAAAGGGCAUUUGGUUACACAAAUCAGCGCACAUUAAAUAACUUUUACUCCGAGACUAAAAAUAUGCAGUUACCCUUCCUCCAGGGC
rnacentral:lncRNA from 1 species